rnacentral:rRNA from 1 species
GGGGCUUCGGCCCUGAGUAGAGCGGCAAACGGGUGAGUAACACGUGGGUGACCUGCCUUCGAGUGGGGGAUAACGUCCCGAAAGGGACGCUAAUACCGCAUGACAUCCUGCCUUUGGAAAGGCGGAGAUCAAAGCCGGGGAUCGCAAGACCUGGCGCUUGAAGAGGGGCCCGCGCCUGAUUAGCUAGUUGGUGGGGUAAUGGCUCACCAAGGCAACGAUCAGUAGCCGGCCUGAGAGGGCGGACGGCCACACUGGGACUGAGACACGGCCCAGACUCCUACGGGAGGCAGCAGUGGGGAAUUGUUCGCAAUGGGCGCAAGCCUGACGACGCAACGCCGCGUGGAGGACGAAGAUCUUCGGGUCGUAAACUCCUGUCGAGCGGGAAGAGCACCUUCCGGGCGAAUAUCCUGGAGGGCUGACGGUACCGCUAAAGGAAGCCCCGGCUAACUCCGUGCCAGCAGCCGCGGUAAUACGGGGGGGGCAAGCGUUGUUCGGAAUUACUGGGCGUAAAGGGCUCGUAGGCGGCCAACUAAGUCGGACGUGAAAUCCCCAGGCUCAACCUGGGAACUGCGUCCGAUACUGGAUGGCUUGAAUUCGGGAGAGGGAUGCAGAAUUCCAGGUGUAGCGGUGAAAUGCGUAGAUAUCUGGAGGAAUACCGGUGGCGAAGGCGGCAUCCUGGACCGACAUUGACGCUGAUGAGCGAAAGCUAGGGGAGCAAACGGGAUUAGAUACCCCGGUAGUCCUAGCCCUAAACGAUGAAUGCUUGGUGUGACGGGUAUC